AAGUUUGAUGGCGACCGGCGCACGGGUGAGUAACACGUAUCCAACCUGCCGAUGGCUCGGGGAUAGCCUUUCGAAAGAAAGAUUAAUACCCGAUGGCAUAGUUCUUCCGCAUGGUAGAACUAUUAAAGGAUUUCGGUCAUCGAUGGGGAUGCGUUCCAUUAGGUUGUUGGCGGGGUAACGGCCCACCAAGCCUUCGAUGGAUAGGGGUUCUGAGAGGAAGGUCCCCCACAUUGGGACUGAGACACGGUCCAAACUCCUACGGGAGGCAGCAUG
rnacentral:rRNA from 1 species